GGUUGAUCCUGCCAGUAGUCAUAUGCUUGUCUCAAAGAUUAAGCCAUGCAUGUCUAAGUAUAAGCACUUUGUACUGUGAAACUGCGAAUGGCUCAUUAAAUCAGUUAUAGUAUAUUGGGUAUUAUUUUACUACAUGGAUACCUGUGGUAAUUCUAGAGCUAAUACAUGCAAAAAACCCUGACUUCGGAAAGGGUGUAUUUAUUAGAUAAAAAACCAAUGUCUUCGGACUUUUUGGUGAAUCAUAAUAACUAAACGCAGCGCAUGGCCUUGUGCUGGCGCGGUACUCAAUUAAU
rnacentral:rRNA from 1 species